UUGGAUGGGAGUCGGAAGCUCAUCUGCUCAGCUGUUACAAGAUAUUUCACAAUGAAAAAGUUCUGAUGAGAAGAACAUGGGAAGAAGCAGAAGCAUUAUGCCAAGAUUUUGGAGCACAUCUUGCUAGUUUUAGCAAUAUCUA